GUGCCAUACAUGUAUGUUAAGUGCUCACUGCCCAUUCUGUCCAUAUACUAUUGGCUUACUUGAUUUGUAUCUGACCUGAUUAUUGAACCAAGGCAUAAGCUGUGGGUGAGGUUUCCUAAGCCCACAUGUGCGUGGAGCAUUUCCCAACUAAAUGCAACUACAUCCACCAAUGUAGCAUAAGGGUGUAAGAUAACUUUCCGUCCAGUAUAUUGCGGAAGAAACCUGGUAGAGUAGUAGUUUCUGAUCUGCUCGAAUGGGCUUGAUGCUUAUAGUUUCCAUUUUGUGGUAUCAUUUGAAUGGGAGAACCCUUGGUUAUUGUGGUCUUGUGUGUUUUAUAGUUUGUCAAGCAUUUUUGGGCUUCAUAGUUUCAAACAAUUUCAAUAGCAUGUCUGUAGUUUUAUCGUUUAGAGGAUGGAAUUGUUGAAAUGGUUGUGCAGGUUCUAUUUGGAUCCAUCCUAUUUGGAGUUUCUUUUUUCAUUCUAAAUCUUGGUCUGUGAGCUCAUGUUUUCUCCGUUACCUUUUUAAUAUAACUGUCUUGUGAAAAUGAUAUUGGAUCUAUUUAAAUGCAGGGCUCCUUUAAGACAUUUGAAGAUAGACUGUAUCAAGAAAUAAGAAUAUUGUCUACCAUGUCCCUUUCAUAAAUAGGUAUUAUGGCAAGGCUCACAAGGUCUUCUGAGGAAAACCAAGGCUCAGUUCACGACACCAUAGGGUUUUCCUCAGAAAUGCUCCUCUGCAUUUUCGUAAAAGACUCAGAAGCAAAGAUAUUUAUCUUGAAAGAUCACAAUGCACAUGACUGUCUCAAUUGCUUGAAGAUACUACAAGUGGGGGCUGCCAUGGAUCUUGCUUCUCUUAAUGUAUAAUUCUGAGAAAGGUAUACUUAAGAAUUUGAAAGGUACUUCUUACGCUUUCAAUUUCAAAGAAGCGGUUUCUUUUGGGUCUUCUUCUAUUCAGAAAUGAAAAUUUUGAGAUGCAUAAUCAGAGUUCAAGAUGAACUUAGAAUUUUCUCUGCCUUAAGAGUAGGUAUGAUCUUUGUUUCUUUUAUUUGGAUUUAAAUUCUCCUUUGUUUGGGUCUGUUGUACAGAACAUUAGAGAGAUGAAGCAAUUAAAACAGUUAUUUCAUUUUAUUUGUUUGCUAGUCUACUGGGUUUUUUUCGUUGAGAGGUAUUCCAAAAUUUCAGCAGUUGGCACUUUCAGAUAAAUAAAAUUCUGGUUUACUUCUUAAUGUGUAGUAUCCUAUGAGCCUUCUUUUGUGAGGGAACACUUAAGUAUCAAGCCCAUGGAUGUUCUAGAUGAGUUGCAUCAGCCUCCAUUUCUUUUGUAUAUUGCGCUAGACUUGAGGAGCAAAAAGACCGAUUCUUGCGCGUGGUGCAUCUAACGGAAAGCUGGGGUCUCAUACACAUGUUCCAUAUUGGCAUGUGCAGCUGCAUGUUGAUGGUCAUGAAUCCAUUUACAUGUGGGUUUAACCUCUAUUUUAUGUUAACUUGAUAUGGUUUUUGACUAAUUCAGUCCCAUAAUAUUGUAGGCAUUGCAGCAUGUAUAAUCUUCAAUUGCAUAGUGUAGUUUUGUUGUAUAUAGAGAACUCAGUGAGGAGCCACUAUUUUUGGAUUUGUUUGCAUCCAAUUUAUGCUAUCAAGCCCAUAUUGAUGAAUAUAGUUAUUUCACAUAUUGAUCAAAACAUAAAACCAUGUCUUAUAUGUUGCCUUGAUGGAUCUUUUUACCUUUUCCCUUUUCCCUGUUGGAGUUAUAAAAGAAAUAAUAUGAGAUAUAGUUUAUCAUCUGGUACAUAUUCUCUUUUCUCUAUGCAACUCCAAGAAAUUCAUUGUUCAUUUUUCUUAAGGGCUUUCUUAUUGACUACAGGCCUAUCUAUUAUUCAGAGAUGAGUAUUUGUUCAUAUUCCAGGAAGCUUACAAGGCUGCAAUGCAUUAUCUAUACCACGAUCCUUGUAAUUCAAAUGGUUACGAGCACCAUACAAACCGAUGGAGUUGCUAAAGUCUGAUUGGGCAACAAUUAGAAAGUCUCCACCAUGGGCGAUUGAUUCUUGGUAUGAUGGGAUCAAGGUAUGUACCAUUUUCCGUCAACCAUUUGUGUGUUGGCCAUAGUGGAGGUGAGACAUAGCGGCAACUAAACUCUCUUUGCAAUUCCAUGUUUCAUGUCCAACUUGAAACUAUGGGAAUUGUCGUUUGGGUUAGCCCCACUUAGGCCAUUUCCUUUCUGUGAAUUGAGUUGUUACCAAUUUUGUGAAUAGGAUUCUUAUUAAACAAUCGUGUGAAUUAUUUUUUGAAUGAGUAUCAGGUGCAAGAUUCAGAAAAAUAAAUAAAUAAUUCGACA